GAAAGAUGUAGCGGUGUUUCAAAUUUGAGCAUAUAUGUCAUUUCUUACCCUUCUUCCUGUUUUGUGGAAAGGAUGUAGUGGUGUUUCAAACGCCAAAAAUUUUUCUUCCAUCGAAUUCGACGAUUCCAAUUUGAUGACGACUUGAUCACGAAUCCCUUGGAUCAGAACAAUAUCGAGGACAACAUUUAAUCGUGAGUCGUAUGCGUUUUUGUUCCUCUGGUCACUCAAUCAUGUCGAAGGAUGAAAGAUCCGAAUCGACACAGGUAAUUGGUUGCAUACGUAGAAUUUUUGACGAGCAUAGUGACCGCGGGUAUUUAUUAUACCAGUGAGUAGUAACAUUUUCGUUUAUAUUUUAUUUAUUAGUUUAGGAUAGGUUUUCUUGCACACCGCGUUUUUAAAUGUUGAUGAUAAUAUAUAUAAUAUAUGUCGGGUUUGCGUUAAGAU